rnacentral:lncRNA from 1 species
CAGAACAUGAGUCCAAAAUUCAUAUUUGCUUUGGGCUACAGUUUCUAGAGAUUUCCUUAUUGGUAACUGAAACUAGAAAUGUACCUCCUAUUCACUCUAGGGCUUCUUGUCUCUUUGGACUUCUCUUCCUAAACUCCAGGAUUCUGGGGCAUCCCUGGUCUUGGCUACUGAGCCUCAGGGUCCCUGCCCUCCAACUCAACCUUCCCCCAGAAGUGGACACACUGCUGCUACUUGCUCUACAGACAGCUAGCUCUCCACACAGAUCUCAUCGUUCAGCAGGUAUUGACUACAUUCUGAACACCCCAUGAGCAAGAGCAAGGAAAUGAGGCAAAUAUAUUUCUUCACUCUAUAAACCAGUUUCUUCCAGAGAUGGACAAUUAAUCAACUUGUCAGGCAGGCAGUACUGUG